CCAGACUCCUACGGGAGGCAGCAGUGGGGAAUAUUGCACAAUGGGCGCAAGCCUGAUGCAGCCAUGCCGCGUGUAUGAAGAAGGCCUUCGGGUUGUAAAGUACUUUCAGUCGGGAGGAAGGUGGUAAGGUUAAUAACCUUAUCAAUUGACGUUACCGACAGAGGAAGCACCGGCUAACUCCGUGCCAGCAGCCGCGGUAAUACGGAGGGUGCAAGCGUUAAUCGGAAUUACUGGGCGUAAAGCGCACGCAGGCGGUCUGUCAAGUCGGAUGUGAAAUCCCCGGGCUCAACCUGGGAACUGCAUUCGAAACUGGCAGGCUGGAGUCUUGUAGAGGGGGGUAGAAUUCCAGGUGUAGCGGUGAAAUGCGUAGAGAUCUGGAGGAAUACCGGUGGCGAAGGCGGCCCCCUGGACAAAGACUGACGCUCAGGUGCGAAAGCGUGGGGAGCAAACAGGAUUAGAUACCCCGGUAAAG
rnacentral:rRNA from 1 species